rnacentral:rRNA from 1 species
GAUGAACGCUGGCGGCGUGCCUAACACAUGCAAGUCGAACGGAGAUUACGGACGGAAGUUUUCGGAUGGAAGACUGUAAUUCUUAGUGGCGGACGGGUGAGUAACGCGUGGGCAACCUGCCCUAUACAGGGGGAUAGCAGCUGGAAACGGCUGGUAAGACCGCAUAAGUCGGUUAAAUCGCAUGAUUUGAUCGGGAAAUGAGCAAUCAGGUAUAGGAUGGGCCCGCGUCCGAUUAGCCAGUUGGCAGGGUAAAAGCCUACCAAAGCGACGAUCGGUAGCCGGACUGAGAGGUCGGACGGCCACAGUGGGACUGAGACACGGCCCAAACUCCUACGGGAGGCAGCAGUGGGGGAUAUUGCACAAUGGAGGAAACUCUGAUGCAGCGACGCCGCGUGAGUGAAGAAGUAUUUCGGUAUGUAAAGCUCUAUCAGCAGGGAAGAUGAUGACGGUACCUGACGAAGAAGCCCCGGCUAACUACGUG